rnacentral:rRNA from 1 species
CUACGGGAGGCAGCAGUAAGGAAUAUUGGGCAAUGGACGCAAGUCUGACCCAGCCAUGCCGCGUGCAGGAUGACAGCCCUACGGGUUGUAAACUGCUUUUGUACGGGAAAAAUUCCCUGGUCGUGUACCGGGGUUGAUGGUACCGUAAGAAUAAGCAUCGGCUAACUCCGUGCCAGCAGCCGCGGUAAUACGGAGGAUGCAAGCGUUAUCCGGAUUUAUUGGGUUUAAAGGGUGCGCAGGCGGAAUGAUAAGUCAGUGGUGAAAUCCUACAGCUUAACUGUAGAACUGCCAUUGAUACUGUUGUUCUUGAGUACAUUUGUAGUGGGCGGAAUGUGUCAUGUAGCGGUGAAAUGCUUAGAGAUGACACAGAACACCGAUCGCGAAGGCAGCUCACUAAACUGUAACUGACGCUCAGGCACGAAAGCGUGGGGAUCAAACAGGAUUAGAUACCCCAGUAGUC